rnacentral:misc_RNA from 1 species
GAAAAUCUCUCAUCAAAUUAAUUUUUGGUGGAUGUUGAGUGCUGCUGCUAUCUAGCUCACUUUAAAUAUAUAAGUUCUUUCUACUAUUUGUUGGAUUGACUUGGUGUAAUAUCUUUUUCAUCAAGGAAAGUAGCAAUACUUGCCAAUAAUAAUGGAAUGAGGACUCCUAAACAAUUGAUUUUAUUAUCAAUAAAUUAUUUAUUU